GAUGAACGCUGGCGGCGUGCCUAAUACAUGCAAGUCGAGCGAACGGAUGAGAAGCUUGCUUCUCUGAUGUUAGCGGCGGACGGGUGAGUAACACGUGGAUAACCUACCUAUAAGACUGGGAUAACUUCGGGAAACCGGAGCUAAUACCGGAUAAUAUUUUGAACCGCAUGGUUCAAAAGUGAAAGACGGUCUUGCUGUCACUUAUAGAUGGAUCCGCGCUGCAUUAGCUAGUUGGUAAGGUAACGGCUUACCAAGGCAACGAUGCAUAGCCGACCUGAGAGGGUGAUCGGCCACACUGGAACUGAGACACGGUCCAGACUCCUACGGGAGGCAGCAGUAGGGAAUCUUCCGCAAUGGGCGAAAGCCUGACGGAGCAACGCCGCGUGAGUGAUGAAGGUCUUCGGAUCGUAAAACUCUGUUAUUAGGGAAGAACAUAUGUGUAAGUAACUGUGCACAUCUUGACGGUACCUAAUCGGAAAGCCACGGCUAACUACGUGCCAGCAGCCGCGGUAAUACGUAGGUGGCAAGCGUUAUCCGGAAUUAUUGGGCGUAAAGCGCGCGUAGGCGGUUUUUUAAGUCUGAUGUGAAAGCCCACGGCUCAACCGUGGAGGGUCAUUGGAAACUGGAAAACUUGAGUGCAGAAGAGGAAAGUGGAAUUCCAUGUGUAGCGGUGAAAUGCGCAGAGAUAUGGAGGAACACCAGUGGCGAAGGCGACUUUCUGGUCUGUAACUGACGCUGAUGUGCGAAAGCGUGGGGAUCAAACAGG
rnacentral:rRNA from 1 species